rnacentral:rRNA from 1 species
CCUACGGGAGGCAGCAGUGGGGAAUAUUGCACAAUGGGCGCAAGCCUGAUGCAGCCAUGCCGCGUGUAUGAUGAAGGCCUUCGGGUUGUAAAGUACUUUCAGUCGGGAGGAAGGUGGUAAGGUUAAUAACCUUAUCACUUGACUUUACCGACCCAAGAAGCACCGUCUAACUCCGUGCCAGCAGCCGCGGUAAUACGGAGGGUGCAAGCGUUAAUCGGAAUUACUGGGCGUAAAGCGCACGCAGUCGGUUGAUUGAGUCAGAUGUGAAAUCACCGGGCUUAACCCGGGAAUUGCAUCUGAUACUGGUCAGCUAGAGUAUUGUAGAGGGAGGUAGAAUUCCAUGUGGAGCGGUGAAAUGCGUAGAGAUGUGGAGGAAUACCGAUGGCGAAGGCGGCCCCCUAGACAAAGACUGACGCUCAGGUGCGAAAGCGUGGGGAGCAAACAGGAUUAGAUACCCGAGUAGUC